AGACCAGGAAAUUAACAAGGCAGGCGGAGAUGAAAAAUAUUCCAUUUGCCAAGGACCAAAUUAACAACUUAUGCCAAGAUUUGGACAUGUGGUGCCACCUCUGCCAAGGAUACUGACUGUCUCUCUUGCAAAACUUCAAAAGGACAAAAUCUUUGGCAAGGUUAUUUCUCAUUUCUCAAGUGCCCAUACUUGGAACAUCCAAGACUCAGCAGAAGACUGCCCAAAUUACACCCUCCACCUUGGAACAGUUGGACACGCAUGCAACAUCCUACAGUACAACAAAUCUCAAGGAGCCAUUAGAACCCCUGUCCUCUCUCACAAACCCUACCAGCAAUACAUCACACAGACUACUUAGCAAUGUCAGCACAUACCUACCCGAUUCCAUCUCACCUUCUUCAAUUACAGAGCAGAGAGGAGAGAAUCUGCCAGUAAGCUCUCUGUCAUAAAGGGUAAUGAAGGAAUAAAAAGAUGAUGCAACACAAUCAAACACCCACCAGUUUCUCUACCUUCACCCAACAUAUCCCUCCUACUUCAAUAGAAAUAUUCAGGUCUGGGUGUCAUAGUUAGAAAUUUCCUUUUUACAUGACUCCAAUUUUAAUUGAAUAACUUUUUUUAGAAACACACUUAUUUUUGGGCAAGGUGAAUGUUUCUGUCAGAAGACAAAAUGUACAAAAUAGAAUGUGGUAGAAAAUCAUAGUACAUCUCAAAAUAUAUUGAUCACUACCCUACCACAAACACAUAAGGACACAUUUCAUUUAACCGGUACACUCAUACCCUAACCAGUUUCUAUACAUAGAUAUUUACUACAGACAUUGGCAGCAUGUGUAUACUAACAAUAAUUAUAAUGUCAGCCCUACUAGCAGAACAAAAGCCACCAUGUGCUCAUCCUGACCCAACACAUUUAGACAAACAAUUGUUUCAGUUAUUAAAUUUGAGUCUGAUAAACAGCCAUUUUCUUUUCAAUACUCAAAAUUACAGAUGGAAAAGACAUUUAUUCCAACUUAUGGAAACAUCAGUUUGUAAGACUUGGAAUAAAACUCCUAAUUCCCCUAAAUCAACUAAUUUAACAG